rnacentral:rRNA from 1 species
GUGACCUCGAAUCAGGUAGGAAUACCCGCUGAACUUAA